UGGAUGCAAAGGUUUAACUCGUGCUAAUCUGGACAAGCCAAGGCGGAGACUCUGAUUGGGAGACUUCACAGACACUACCACCAGUGGGCUGCUGCUACUUCUGCUACCUCCAGAUGCCGCUGAAAGGAAACAUAUGAUGUGAUGCUGAUGAUGUCAGAAAUCUCUUAACAAAGAUUAAUUUAUAAAAUAAGCAGCAAAAAAAAGCUGAAGGACUGCGUAUUUCUAAUGGUUUCCUAGUGGUAUCUGAAGACAGAGAAACCUUUUUUGGCAAGGACUGAGAUUCUGAUUUGACGGCAGCUGGAGCAGAGUCCACCGAAGUCACUUAUUUGAAAAAUAUACGUAA
rnacentral:lncRNA from 1 species